GGAAACUUGUGCUAAUACCGAAUGUGCCCUUCGGGGGAAAGAUUUAUCGCCAUUAGAGCGGCCCGCGUCUGAUUAGCUAGUUGGUGAGGUAAAGGCUCACCAAGGCGACGAUCAGUAGCUGGUCUGAGAGGAUGAUCAGCCACAUUGGGACUGAGACACGGCCCAAACUCCUACGGGAGGCAGCAGUGGGGAAUCUUGCGCAAUGGGCGAAAGCCUGACGCAGCCAUGCCGCGUGAAUGAUGAAGGUCUUAGGAUUGUAAAAUUCUUUCAGUAGGGACGAUAAUGACGGUACCUACAGAAGAAGCCCCGGCUAACUUCGUGCCAGCAGCCGCGGUAAUACGAAGGGGGCUAGCGUUGCUCGGAAUUACUGGGCGUAAAGGGAGCGUAGGCGGACAUUUAAGUCAGGGGUGAAAUCCCGGGGCUCAACCUCGGAAUUGCCUUUGAUACUGGGUGUCUUGAGUAUGAGAGAGGUAUGUGGAACUCCGAGUGUAGAGGUGAAAUUCGUAGAUAUUCGGAAGAACACCAGUGGCGAAGCGACAUACUGCUCAUACUGACGCUGAGCAGCGUGGGGAGCAAACAGGAUUAGAUACCCUGGUAGUCCCCGCCGUAAACGAUGAUGCUAGUGUCGGGAUGCAUGCAUUUCGGUGACGCAGCUACCCAUAGCAUCCGCCUGGGGAGUACGUCGCAGAUAAACUCAAAGAUGGACGGGGCCGCCAAGC
rnacentral:rRNA from 1 species